UUUUUCUAAAACAUGUUUGUAUGUAAUAGAUAUUUAAAUUUGUAUAUAUGAUUUAGAAAAAAAUUUAGAUGGGUCCAAAUUAUUGACUUUGAGAAAAAAAUAAUUAUCAAAGGGUUUUUUGCAAAUAUGACUCAAAAUUUGAAUUCAAACACAAAUUAACUCAUGUUUUUUUUUUUAAACUUUAAUUUGCCUCUUCCACCUCCAAAGUUCAGAUUAUUCACCAAAAUGCCAUCAUUUUUUUUUCUUUCGAAAAUGCAUAUUUUACUCUAUCACCCUCAACUUCUUCAAGUAUUCACAAUAUUGCAACUUCCAUCAAUAAUCAACCACCAU
rnacentral:lncRNA from 1 species